rnacentral:rRNA from 1 species
AUUGAACGCUGGCGGCAGGCCUAACACAUGCAAGUCGAGCGGAUGAAGGGUGCUUGCUCCUGGAUUCAGCGGCGGACGGGUGUGUAAUGCCUAGGAAUCUGCCUGGUAGUGGGGGAUAAUGUCCGGAAACGGGCGCUAAUACCGCCUACGUCCUGCGGGAGAAAGUGGGGGAUCUUCGGACCUUACGCUAUCAGAUGAGCCUAGGUCGGAUUAGCUAGUUGGUGGGGUAAAGGCCUACCAAGGCGACGAUCCGUAACUGGUCGGAGAGGAUGAUCAGUCACACUGGAACUGAGACACGGUCCAGACUCCUACGGGAGGCAGCAGUGGGGAAUAUUGGACAGUGGGCGAAAGCCUGAUCCAACCAUGCCGCGUGUGUGAAGAAGGUCUUCGGAGUGUAAAGCACUUUAAGUUGGGAGGAAGGGCAGUAAGUUAAGACCUUGCUGUUGUGACGUUACCAACAGAAUAAGCACCGGCUAACUUCGUG